rnacentral:rRNA from 1 species
AUUGAACGCUGGCGGCAUGCCUUACACAUGCAAGUCGAACGGUAACAGGUCGUCGGAUGCUGACGAGUGGCGAACGGGUGAGUAAUCCAUCGGAACGUGCCUAGCGGUGGGGGAUAACUCCUCUAAAGAGUGGCCAAUACCGCCUGAGAGCUACGGAUGAAAGCCGGGGAUCGCAAGAACUUCUGCUACUAACCCGGCCGAUGGCAGAUUAGGUAGGUGGUGAGAUAAAAGCUUACCAAGCCGACGAUCUGUAGCUGGUCUGAGAGGACGAUCAGCCACACUGGGACUGAGACACGGCCCAGACUCCUACGGGAGGCAGCAGUGGGGAAUUUUGGACAAUGGGCGCAAGCCUGAUCCAGCAACGCCGCGUGCAGGAAGAAGGCCUUCGGGUUGUAAACUGCUUUUGUACGGAACGAAAAGGUUUGGGUUAAUACCCUGGGCCGAUGACGGUACCGUAAGAAUAAGCACCGGCUAACUACGUGCCAGCCGCCGCGGUAACAC